rnacentral:lncRNA from 1 species
UUAGCAAUUACUUUCUCUAAAAACAAUUAGAACUCGAUUUUUCGCAACAAUUUUUAGAAACUUUUCAUCUAUGAUUAUGUGGAAGAUUACAGAGAAAGAAAUUCAUAAAUGAAAAGUAUUUUUCAAGAAAUCAACAUUGGCUAUAUGCUUCUAGUCCAAAACUUAAUAUGUGGAAAAUUAUGAUGUAAUUGCUAAGUAAUGAGCGCUCAUUAUGAUAAUAUUUAGGCAUAAUGACUUAUUUGGUCCUCUAACUUUACAAAAAUAGUCAUUUUAGAUAUCUAUUUAAUUUUUCGCCUCUUUUAAUCUUUAAAUUUAUCUUAUUUGCCAAAUCACCCUAAAUGGAGUGAAAAAAUUAAUAUUUGUUAAUUUUACUGACAUGGCAUGCACGUAGAUUGUCAUGUUAGCAAUUAAUUAUUUUUUUAAAUAUAAAAAAUUUAAAAAAGUAUAAAAAUUAUUUAAAAAUGAAAAAAAGUAUAAAAAUUAUAAAUAAAUUUUAAUAUUUUUCAAAUUUUAAAAAAUUAAUUAAUUGUUGAUGUGGCAUACAUGUGGACUUCCACGUGGAUAUCAUGUCAGCAAAGUUAACAAACUUUAUGUUUUCCAUCCAUUUUGUUGUGAUUUGAUAAACAAGAGCAAAUUCAAAGGCUAAAAGAGAUGAAAAAUUAAAUGGAGGCUAAAAUAAUUUUUUUUGUAAAGUUGAAGGACCAAAUAAGUCAUUAUGCCUAAUAUUUAUGCCUCAUUUAGCUAGCAUUUAACUUGAUUCUUAAGUGGUUUUCUACUAAUU